GAUUCAAAGGGGCAGGAAAGUUCCACAAAUCCCACUGCAGGCCCUGUUCUAGCCCUGCCCAGGUGGGGAAGUCCACGGACCUCAUGCUUCCCAGAAAAGCUGGUAGGAAGCUGCGGGCUGCCUGAAGACAAAAUCCUUCUUAAGAAGCGGCUUUCUUUACCUCGAACUCAGGCAACUGUGUGUCUGGAAAGAACCUGGGACCCACACAUCAAGUUCCCAGCCCUCUACCUAUAGUUCUAGAAGGUGUGGAGUAUUCCAGAAUGCCAUCUGCACCCAGAAAGAAAAGAGCAGAGCAGGUGUGUGUUAGGAAGAGCCCCCGCUUCCCUGUCCCCUGGGCCAAGUUCCGUGACGUUUCUCUCUGUUACCAACAAGGAAGCCGCAGGCUGUGACUCCAACCAGCUCUUCAGUUCCUUGUCUGAAGCAGCCACAUAGAUCCCACCAAGAACUCCCCACCUGUGAGCAUACCUCCGGCACAUCGCACGGUUGUAUGUCCACUACUCAAAGCUCAGUGGCUACAGGGUACAAAUGCACAGAGGCGCUAAGGGCUCCACCUGGCCCUUGAGAAACUCACCGAGGAAGAGGGAAGCAGAGA